UACGUAGGUGGCAAGCGUUGUUCGGAAUUAUUGGGCGUAAAGGGCGCGUAGGCGGCCUGUUAAGUCGGCUGUGAAAGCCCGGGGCUCAACCCCGGAAAGUCGGCCGAUACUGCCAUGACUAGAGUCCGGUAGGGGAGUGUGGAAUUCCCGGUGUAGCGGUGAAAUGCGCAGAUAUCGGGAGGAACACCAGUAGCGAAGGCGACACUCUGGGCCGGUACUGACGCUGAGGAGCGAAAGCGUGGGGAGCAAACAGG
rnacentral:rRNA from 1 species